GGCGGGACCGGACUGGGGGAAGCCCUUGGGGCCUUCCGUGCUCUGCGGCUCCCACUGGAUGGGGCCGCAGUUCUUGACCACGCCCUGCUU
rnacentral:tRNA from 1 species